CAGCUUGCGCUGGUGUCUAGAAAAGUCUGCACGGCAGAGCUGACUCUCGGGGAGCUUGCACUUCAAAAAAAAAAAUCGCUGUUGGGAGACAGACAGGGUGCUGCAUUGCCAAUUCGGGGCAAGCCCACCUUGAGGAGGAAGGCGGGAUGGGGGUGGUACACACCUCAGAGUUCUGGCCAGAAUUCUUGUUUUGCUGCCGCUGGGUUUUUCCCUAAGCAGAACAGGUUUUUCUCAGGCCAGCCAGGCUGCCAUGAACUUCUGGUCCCUUCAAGCAGUAAACACCACCAGCCACGGGUUUCAAUCUGCACUCUGGCGCCUCUUCCUCGUUUUCUUUCAAACUGCGGGUUUGAAAAAUUGGAACGCUCGGACUGGAGAGGAGGCUCGGAAUUAAGAGCACUCGCUGCUCUUGCAAAGAACUCGAUCCUGGGAUGUGCUGAGAUCUCCACUGGUGCCUACAAAGAAACACAAAUUCAUCAUAUCACAGUUGCAGCUGGCUUACAAAACCAGAGAUGCUGUUUCUCCAUCUUCUAAGGACCCCUAUGCUCAAGGCUGAGAACAACUGAGACUCCAAGGUCAUGUGACUUAGGAUUAUACUACUAAUUAUAGGCUGGAGACUGAGUUCAGACAUGCUCAUCAAUGCCUGGACCCUGCUUCCCAAGCUUCUCUGCGUCUGUGGGAAUUAUUGAGACCCUGCCUUAGCUCUUGCCAAGACCUGUGGGUGCAGAGCAGGGGACAGGGUGGAUUAUUCUGCUCUUUGAAAUGUCUAUUGGGUCAAACCUAUCUGGAAACUCAGAAGCCAAGCCAGGGAGUUUUGAACAUGGGGGUUAUAACAGUAUGGUGGGUAGGGAGGCAGCCAAUCGUCCAGCAUCUGGAAUGAAGCCACACCACACUCUUCCCUGUGCCCCCAGCCCUCAGGCUUGGAAGAGCUCCCUGCCCCACUCCCUCCCUUCCUCCCUUCCUUCCUCUGUCCCCUCCACUAAUGAAUGCUAUCACCUCUCCUGCCUCCCUUCUUAUACCAAAAAUCUCAUCUCCUCCUAGACCUAUAUACUAUAGAAACAAAACAAACAAGCAACAAUAAAACCCUAAAUUAACACAUAAUAGGUCACCCAGGCAAGCAUGAAUAAAUGUUGGAAGGUUUUUUGUUUUUUGGGUUUGUUUGUUUUUUUUUUUUUUUACUAUAAAUUCCUUAUGCCAA
rnacentral:lncRNA from 1 species